CUCCAGCUGGAGCGGGACAGGAGCAGAGCUCAAGAGCUCUUGAGUCAGAGCCUGCCGUACCUGAGGGAUGCUCAGGCCAGCUUGCGAGAGGCGGCCGUGAGGUUCAUCGGGCUGGCUGCGCGGCCCCUGAGGGACCGAAGGGAGGAGGAGGAGCUGGCUGAGAUCUGCAGCGCCCUUCAGCCCUUGGAGCAGGAUAGUGAACCCUCCAUCUGCUCCCUGGCAGCUCAGACCAUCCACAUCCUGGGCAACCCAAGGGAGCAGCCGAGAUCGCGAUGGACCCUGCGAGCCCUGUGCUGCUGGCCCCGCUAAGCCCGGCGGAGGUGCAGCUCUUCUCGGGAGGAGGGCUGGAGUUUAAUAAAGCU